rnacentral:rRNA from 1 species
UUAAGCGACUAAGCGUACACGGUGGAUGCCCUGGCAGUCAGAGGCGAUGAAGGACGUGCUAAUCUGCGAUAAGCGUCGGUGAGGUGAUAUGAACCGUUAUAACCGGCGAUUUCCGAAUGGGGAAACCCAGUGUGUUUCGACACACUAUCAUUAACUGAAUCCAUAGGUUAAUGAGGCGAACCGGGGGAACUGAAACAUCUAAGUACCCCGAGGAAAAGAAAUCAACCGAGAUUCCCCCAGUAGCGGCGAGCGAACGGGGAGGAGCCCAGAGCCUGAAUCAGUGUGUGUGUUAGUGGAAGCGUCUGGAAAGGCGUGCGAUACAGGGUGACAGCCCCGUACACAAAAAUGCACAUAUUGUGAGCUCGAUGAGUAGGGCGGGACACGUGGUAUCCUGUCUGAAUAUGGGGGGACCAUCCUCCAAGGCUAAAUACUCCUGACUGACCGAUAGUGAACCAGUACCGUGAGGGAAAGGCGAAAAGAACCCCGGCGAGGGGAGUGAAAAAGAACCUGAAACCGUGUACGUACAAGCAGUGGGAGCCUCUUAAUGGGGUGACUGCGUACCUUUUGUAUAAUGGGUCAGCGACUUAUAUUCUGUAGCAAGGUUAACCGAAUAGGGGAGCCGAAGGGAAACCGAGUCUUAACUGGGCGUUAAGUUGCAGGGUAUAGACCCGAAACCCGGUGAUCUAGCCAUGGGCAGGUUGAAGGUUGGGUAACACUAACUGGAGGACCGAACCGACUAAUGUUGAAAAAUUAGCGGAUGACUUGUGGCUGGGGGUGAAAGGCCAAUCAAACCGGGAGAUAGCUGGUUCUCCCCGAAAGCUAUUUAGGUAGCGCCUCGUGAAUUCAUCUCCGGGGGUAGAGCACUGUUUCGGCAAGGGGGUCAUCCCGACUUACCAACCCGAUGCAAACUGCGAAUACCGGAGAAUGUUAUCACGGGAGACACACGGCGGGUGCUAACGUCCGUCGUGAAGAGGGAAACAACCCAGACCGCCAGCUAAGGUCCCAAAGUCAUGGUUAAGUGGGAAACGAUGUGGGAAGGCCCAGACAGCCAGGAUGUUGGCUUAGAAGCAGCCAUCAUUUAAAGAAAGCGUAAUAGCUCACUGGUCGAGUCGGCCUGCGCGGAAGAUGUAACGGGGCUAAACCAUGCACCGAAGCUGCGGCAGCGACACUAUGUGUUGUUGGGUAGGGGAGCGUUCUGUAAGCCUGUGAAGGUGGCCUGUGAGGGUUGCUGGAGGUAUCAGAAGUGCGAAUGCUGACAUAAGUAACGAUAAAGCGGGUGAAAAGCCCGCUCGCCGGAAGACCAAGGGUUCCUGUCCAACGUUAAUCGGGGCAGGGUGAGUCGACCCCUAAGGCGAGGCCGAAAGGCGUAGUCGAUGGGAAACAGGUUAAUAUUCCUGUACUUGGUGUUACUGCGAAGGGGGGACGGAGAAGGCUAUGUUGGCCGGGCGACGGUUGUCCCGGUUUAAGCGUGUAGGCUGGUUUUCUAGGCAAAUCCGGAAAACCAAGGCUGAGGCGUGAUGACGAGGCACUACGGUGCUGAAGUGACAAAUGCCCUGCUUCCAGGAAAAGCCUCUAAGCAUCAGGUAACAUCAAAUCGUACCCCAAACCGACACAGGUGGUCAGGUAGAGAAUACCAAGGCGCUUGAGAGAACUCGGGUGAAGGAACUAGGCAAAAUGGUGCCGUAACUUCGGGAGAAGGCACGCUGAUAUGUAGGUGAAGCGACUUGCUCGUGGAGCUGAAAUCAGUCGAAGAUACCAGCUGGCUGCAACUGUUUAUUAAAAACACAGCACUGUGCAAACACGAAAGUGGACGUAUACGGUGUGACGCCUGCCCGGUGCCGGAAGGUUAAUUGAUGGGGUUAGCGGUAACGCGAAGCUCUUGAUCGAAGCCCCGGUAAACGGCGGCCGUAACUAUAACGGUCCUAAGGUAGCGAAAUUCCUUGUCGGGUAAGUUCCGACCUGCACGAAUGGCGUAAUGAUGGCCAGGCUGUCUCCACCCGAGACUCAGUGAAAUUGAACUCGCUGUGAAGAUGCAGUGUACCCGCGGCAAGACGGAAAGACCCCGUGAACCUUUACUAUAGCUUGACACUGAACAUUGAGCCUUGAUGUGUAGGAUAGGUGGGAGGCUUUGAAGUGUGGACGCCAGUCUGCAUGGAGCCGACCUUGAAAUACCACCCUUUAAUGUUUGAUGUUCUAACGUUGGCCCGUAAUCCGGGUUGCGGACAGUGUCUGGUGGGUAGUUUGACUGGGGCGGUCUCCUCCUAAAGAGUAACGGAGGAGCACGAAGGUUGGCUAAUCCUGGUCGGACAUCAGGAGGUUAGUGCAAUGGCAUAAGCCAGCUUGACUGCGAGCGUGACGGCGCGAGCAGGUGCGAAAGCAGGUCAUAGUGAUCCGGUGGUUCUGAAUGGAAGGGCCAUCGCUCAACGGAUAAAAGGUACUCCGGGGAUAACAGGCUGAUACCGCCCAAGAGUUCAUAUCGACGGCGGUGUUUGGCACCUCGAUGUCGGCUCAUCACAUCCUGGGGCUGAAGUAGGUCCCAAGGGUAUGGCUGUUCGCCAUUUAAAGUGGUACGCGAGCUGGGUUUAGAACGUCGUGAGACAGUUCGGUCCCUAUCUGCCGUGGGCGCUGGAGAACUGAGGGGGGCUGCUCCUAGUACGAGAGGACCGGAGUGGACGCAUCACUGGUGUUCGGGUUGUCAUGCCAAUGGCACUGCCCGGUAGCUAAAUGCGGAAGAGAUAAGUGCUGAAAGCAUCUAAGCACGAAACUUGCCCCGAGAUGAGUUCUCCCUGACUCCUUGAGGGUCCUGAAGGAACGUUGAAGACGACGACGUUGAUAGGCCGGGUGUGUAAGCGCAGCGAUGCGUUGAGCUAACCGGUACUAAUGAACCGUGAGGCUUAACCUU